GCCAGGUGAUCCGUUACACAAGGCAAUUCCCAAUGGAGAAGGAAUCCUCAGGGAACUAGAUAUGGAAACAGAAAAAAACAAACUGCUUCCAAUAACUCCCGACAGUCUCAGCCAUUCCAGCCUAAUUCUAAUGGGCAAAGAAAGAACGGCAAUGGCAGAAAUAAUUUGCGUCGUCAGGUUGGUCAAUUGACCAACCAGAUGUGCAAAUUAAUGGAAGAAAUGACAAAGAUUAACCAAGUCUUUGCCAGAAAUCCUUUUUUAG